GGGGGCAUAGCUCAGUUGGGAAAGCAGCAGACUGAAGCUCCAGUACGAGUUCUGAAGGUCCCGCGUUCAAUCCGCGGUGCCCCCA
rnacentral:tRNA from 1 species